UUGGAGGGCAAGUCUGGUGCCAGCAGCCGCGGUAAUUCCAGCUCCAAUAGCGUAUAUUAAAGUUGUUGCAGUUAAAAAGCUCGUAGUUGAAUUUCGGGGUUAGUAGGUUGGUCAUGCCACUGGUAUGUACUGGUCUCACUGAUUCCUCCUUCCUGAUGAGCCGUAAUGCCAUUAAUUUGGUGUUGCGAGGAAUCUGGACUGUUACUUUGAAAAAAUUAGAGUGUUUAAAGCAAGCUAACGCUUGAAUACAUUAGCAUGGAAUAAUGAAAUAGGACGUUCGAUCCUAUUUUGUUGGUUUCUAGGAUUGACGUAAUGAUUAAUAGGGAUAGUUGGGGGCAUUAGUAUUCAAUUGUCAGAGGUGAAAUUCUUGGAUUUAUUGAAGACUAACUACUGCGAAAGCAUUUGCCAAGGAUGUUUUCAUUAAUCAAGAACGAAAGUUAGGGGAUCGAAGACGAUCAGAUACCGUCGUAGUCUUAACCAUAAACUAUGCCGACUAGGGAUCGGAUGAUGUUAUUUUUAAUGACUCAUUCGGCGCCUUACGGGAAACCAAAGUGUUUGGGUUC
rnacentral:rRNA from 1 species